GUGUGUAGCUCCUUUUAAAUUAACUACAUCAGUAGUAUUUUUUGGACUUCCGAAUUCUUCUCACCGAAUGAGACUUUGUUGUCACAAAUUCCCAUCAUUCCAUCCCAUUCCCUAUCUCCGACUCAGAAUUACAACUUGGAGGCUGACGUCUAAACAAUAUGUUGUGAACAUGGCAUAAAUAGCUGUACAUUGCAAUACGAGAAUAAUGCUACAUCUGAUAUCAUAUACAGUAUGUAGCGAUCAAGUGCAUUUAAGACCCUUUUUACUGGAUUUUUAUUUUGAAAUAAGAGUCAGCUGGAAAGAGUAAAAAGCUUAAUUAGCUAUCUGGUUAAUAACAUCUACUAGUGACUGUUGUCAUUUCAGUCAAAGUCGACAGUCACCGGCUACAAAUGAGAAGGCUGCAUUCGUCCUCACUGCUUAUGAAAUCAAGGACCCAUUGUUUCAAACAUUGCCAAUAAUUUUGAUGGGAAAUUCAGUGAAAUUAUGUGCUGUGCAAGAACGGGUGUACUCUACAAGUAGACAAGCCGCCUACUGCAAUCAAUCAGCCAGUCAGUGAGUUCUUGCAGGCCUUUCACUCAAACCUUUUUUCAUAUUUUUCUUUGAAAACAACACAAGUCCAGGAGUGAGCAUUCACAUAAGUAUCUACCUAUGGCACAUAUGGAGAAAACAAACACAUUACUUCACAAUACAGUUGCUGUAUCAGCCUCUGAUGGCAGUGGGGACAAAGCGAGCAGAGCAGCAAGACCUUGAGGCAGAGGUAUUAAGAAGCAUGUGAAGUCAAUGAGAGUUUUUCUUUUCCCUGACUUGGUGUUUCCAUGCUCGCUGAUUCUCCCUCUGAGUGGAGUAAGUGCACAGUUUUUUUGUGACUGUGCAAACAGAGAAGCAAACGUGGUCGCCUGCAGACACACAAUCAGGUGUUUGUUGCCUCUUACUGAGAUCAAAAGGGUCUGGCUUGUUUGCUGUCCAGUUGGGAGUUAAAAGGAGGAUUCUUUGUGAUGUGGGGAGGUGAAAGCUUAGACUUCAAAAGAGGGGAAAUACAUACUCAGAAGUUGUUGAAUUUACAUGUUUAGUGUUCUUAGCUGGCUUGCUAUCAUCAGCCACCAGUAAGGAAUCACUUGGUUUUGUUCAGAGUUGGAUGGUUUGUCUGCUAGUGUCUUGUUUUCUGUUACUACACCUGUUAAACACAGAAGGUGCAAUGACUAAUGUAAAUAAUUACUUUUGCUGUUGAGUAUAGCAAUGUAAUUACUUUCUCCAUUGGUAAAAUGUAAUGAGUAAUGGAUUACAUUGCCCAACACUGAUGAUUAAGACUGUUUGA